GUCCAGACUCCUACGGGAGGCAGCAGUGAGGAAUAUUGGUCAAUGGCCGGAAGGCUGAACCAGCCAAGCCGCGUGAAGGACGAAGGUGCCAAGCAUUGUAAACUUCUUUUGUCAAGGGACAAAAUCAGGCUCGAGAGCCUGACCGAGGGUACUUGAAGAAAAAGCAUCGGCUAACUCCGUGCCAGCAGCCGCGGUAAUACGGAGGAUGCGAGCGUUAUCCGGAUUUAUUGGGUUUAAAGGGUGCGUAGGCGGAAGAUCAAGACAGCGGUAAAAAUUCGGGGCUCAACCCCGGCGAGCCGUUGAAACUGGCGGGCUGGAGUUGGAGAGAAGUACGCGGAAUGCGCGGUGUAGCGGUGAAAUGCUUAGAUAUCGCGCAGGACCCCGAUUGCGAAGGCAGCGUACCGGCUCCACACUGACGCUGAGGCACGAAAGCGUGGGUAUCGAACAGGAUUAGAUACCCGUGUACC
rnacentral:rRNA from 1 species